GAGUUUGAUCCUGGCUCAGGAUGAACGCUGGCGGCGUGCCUAACACAUGCAAGUCGAACGAAGCAUCUUACCGGAUUCUUCGGAUGAAAGUUUGGUGACUGAGUGGCGGACGGGUGAGUAACGCGUGAGUAACCUGCCCUGGAGUGGGGGACAACAGUUGGAAACGACUGCUAAUACCGCAUAAGCCCACGAUCCGGCAUCGGAUUGAGGGAAAAGGAUUUAUUCGCUUCAGGAUGGACUCGCGUCCAAUUAGCUAGUUGGUGAGGUAACGGCCCACCAAGGCGACGAUCAGUAGCCGGACUGAGAGGUUGAACGGCCACAUUGGGACUGAGAUACGGCCCAGACUCCUACGGGAGGCAGCAGUGGGGAAUAUUGGGCAAUGGGCGCAAGCCUGACCCAGCAACGCCGCGUGAGGGAAGAAGGCUUUCGGGUUGUAAACCUCUGUCCUUGGUGACGAAGGAAGUGACGGUAGCCAAGGAGGAAGCCCCGGCUAACUACGUGCCAGCCGCCGCGGUAAUAC
rnacentral:rRNA from 1 species